rnacentral:tRNA from 1 species
UAGGAAGUGGUGUAAUGGGAGCGCUAAGAGUUUUGAUCUCUUGAGAAUGGGUUCGAGUCCCUUCUUCCUAAA